AAGAAGCCGUCGAGAGAUAUCGGAAGAGUUUUCUUUUCUGUUUUAUAGCCGUACUACCAUGGAAGUCUUUCGCAGAGAGAUAUGGUAGAUGGGCUAGAAGAGCAUGACAUAUACUGUUGUGUCGAUAUUUUCUCCUCGGACCUUGAAAAUUUAUGGUGGGGACACGCAAACUUCUCAACAGGCCGUACCAAUAUCCGCAGCUGGUCUCCAAGGUGAAGAGUCUCUAGUCGAUAGAAUAAUGUAGGUAAGGGAAGUCGGCAAAAUAGAUCCGUAACUUCGGGAUAAGGAUUGGCUCUAAGGGUUGGGUACGUUGGGCCUUGGGGAGAAGCCUC
rnacentral:rRNA from 1 species